GACAGAGGUGCCGAGCGUUAGGCGGAAUCACUGGGCUUAAAGCGUGUGUAGGCGGACUUCUAAGUACCUUGUGAAAUCCCACGGCUCAACCGUGGAACUGCUUGGUAUACUGGUUGUCUUGAGCCACUUAGGGGCAGUCGGAACAGACGGUGGAGCGGUGAAAUGCGUAGAUAUCAGGAGGAACACCUGUGGUGUAGACAGCUUACUGGACCACUUCUGACGCUGAGACACGAAAGCGUGGGUAGCAAACAGG
rnacentral:rRNA from 1 species